rnacentral:rRNA from 1 species
GAGUCAUUGGGACUCUAAUAAACCUAAAGGCGCAAUGAAAGUAAAGGUCCGCCUCGCGCGGACCGAGGGAAGAUAGGCCCGUCUACGGGCGGGCCUCGCACUCCCGGGGCGUCUCGUUCUCAUCGCGAGAAGAGGCGCACCCAGAGCGUACACGCUGGGACCCGAAAGAUGGUGAACUAUGCCUGGUCAGGACGAAGUCAGGGGAAACCCUGAUGGAGGUCCGUAGCGAUUCUGACGUGCAAAUCGAUCGUCGGAACUGGGUAUAGGGGCGAAAGACUAAUCGAACCAUCUAGUAGCUGGUUCCCUCCGAAGUUUCCCUCAGGAUAGCUGGCGCUCGCCUUUGCGAGUCUCAUUCGGUAAAGCGAAUGAUUAGAGGCAUUGGGGUCGAAACGGCCUCAACCUAUUCUCAAACUUUAAAUGGGUGAGAUCCCCGGCUUGCUUAAAGCAUGAAGCCGCGAGAGAUCGGAUCACAGAGUGCCAAGUGGGCCACUUUUGGUAAGCAGAACUGGCGCUGUGGGAUGAACCAAACGCAGAGUUAAAGCGCCCAAAUCGACGCUUAUGGGAUACCAUGAAAGGCGUUGGUAACUUAA